UACGUAGGGCGCGAGCGUUGUCCGGAAUUAUUGGGCGUAAAGAGCUCGUAGGCGGCUUGUCACGUCGGGUGUGAAAGACCGGGGCUUAACUCCGGUUCUGCAUUCGAUACGGGCUAGCUAGAGUGUGGUAGGGGAGAUCGGAAUUCCUGGUGUAGCGGUGAAAUGCGCAAUAUCAGGAGGAACACCGGUGGCGAAGGCGGAUCUCUGGGCCAUUACUGACGCUGAGGAGCGAAAGCGUGGGGAGCGAAACAGG
rnacentral:rRNA from 1 species